rnacentral:rRNA from 1 species
GAGUUUGAUCAUGGCUCAGAACGAACGCUGGCGGCAUGCCUAACACAUGCAAAGUCGAACGAGACCUUCGGGUCUAGUGGCGCACGGGUGCGUAACGCGUGGGAAUCUGCCUUUCGGUUCGGAAUAACUCAGAGAAAUUUGAGCUAAUACCGGAUGAUGUCGCAAGACCAAAGAUUUAUCGCCGAAAGAUGAGCCCGCGUAGGAUUAGCUAGUUGGUGAGGUAAAGGCUCACCAAGGCGACGAUCCUUAGCUGGUCUGAGAGGAUGAUCAGCCACACUGGGACUGAGACACGGCCCAGACUCCUACGGGAGGCAGCAGUGGGGAAUAUUGGACAAUGGGCGAAAAGCCUGAUCCAGCAAUGCCGCCGUGAGUGAUGAAGGCCCUAGGGUUGUAAAGCUCUUUUUA